AUCACUCAAGAUGGCUGCCCCCAUCAAGAUGACCGGGGUGUGCCGGGGGGAAAGGGGCAGCAUGAUGGUCUGAGAUGGUGUAGCGUCGGACCAUGUGGAAGUUUCUGAGGCUGGGGAGCCGGAUAAUGGGGGGUGGGGCCCGUUGGGGGGUAAAGGGGCAAUAGCGUCCUUUCACAGGCUAACCUCGGCCCUUCCCAGUCCUCUGGACUAAAAUGGGGAACACAUUGGGCCUGGCACCAAUGGGGACUUUGCCCCGCCGGAGCCCCCGCCGAGAGGAACCCCUGCCCAACCCUGGGAGCUUCGAUGAGCUGCACCGGCUAUGCAAAGACGCAGCAGGCCAAGUUCUUGACAUGGCAGUUUGAUGGCGAGUAUCGGGGAGAUGACUACACAGCCACUCUGACCCUAGGAAAUCCUGACCUGAUUGGGGAGUCGGUGAUCAUGGUUGCUCACUUCCUGCAGAGCCUCACUCAUCGGCUGGUGCUGGGAGGAGAGCUAGUUUAUCACCGGCGGCCAGGCGAAGAGGGGGCCAUCUUGACACUGGCUGGGAAGUACUCGGCUGUACACUGGGUAGCUACAUUGAAUGUGGGAUCAGGCGGGGCCCAUGCAAGUUACUACCACAGGGCAAAUGAACAGGUUCAGGUUGGAGUGGAGUUUGAGGCAAACACAAGGCUACAAGACACAACAUUCUCCUUUGGUUACCACCUGACUCUGCCCCAGGCCAACAUGGUAUUUAGAGGCUUGGUGGAUAGUAACUGGUGUGUAGGUGCUGUGCUGGAGAAGAAGAUGCCCCCUCUGCCUGUCACCCUAGCCCUUGGAGCCUUCCUCAAUCACUGGCGCAACAGAUUCCAUUGUGGCUUCAGCAUCACUGUGGGCUGAGGUUGUCCAGAGCCAGCCCCCACAGCAGCUGGAACCUCUGAGUCAGGUGCCCUAGGGCCAGAGACUAGGCCCCUCUUCAGAGCCCACCUUGCUGGGUGAUCUCUAGGACCCAGGAGCAGAGUGGUGGACAGGACCAUGCCCUCCUCAGAACUGGAGCUGCCACAGGGGCAGUUGAUGAGGCAGAGGUUUGAGGAUCCCCCCUCUGCUACCAGCCCCAGUAUCACCUUCCCCAUGCUCUUGUGGCUGUGGACUAAGGGGGAAGGAUUAAGGGGUAUGGCUGAAUUCCCCCGGCACCCCUUGCCCUCAGGCUUCCUUCUUCCUUUCCCUUUGGUUAAUCCUGCAUGGGAUUAGCUGACCAUCCUGUUUUCCAUCCCAGAGCCUCCCAAGGCUGGGAAAGUAGGGCUGAAGGGCUAGAUGUUUGGUCUCAGGAAGUGGGGCCCACCCAUUCCCAGAAGGAGCUUCUUUACCUCUUAGCCCUGAGGUUUCCUUCUUCCCAUCUUCUGUGCUUCCAGAGAACAACUUUGUUCCUAUGGUCACCCCCACUAUCCCCAUGACCGCAUGAAGAGGCAGUUAUUGCUUUAGUCUUUCAUUGCAACCACUGGGCUCCCUUUGAACCCGGCCCAAUCUUUGGUCCCAGCAUUUUCCCACUCCAGUGUAUCCAGGGUGUCCCAGGUGAGCUGGGGAAGGAAGUGAGCCUGGCCUCAGCUGCAGAUCUCCUGGAGCAGCGGCAUCAUGGCAGACAGGCCCUGGAUGUGCUGGAUUUGGUACCCGUAGGCCUCAUUAAUGCUCCGGAGCUCAGCUAGCAGGCCUAGCAACUUCGCAUACAGAAACCUUUGGAGGAAGUAGUGGGGUUGCCAGGAAAACAGGAGGGAAAUAAGGCAGUUGGGAGUCUUGUCUCUAGGCCCUGAUCCCCUGAACUAUUCCUCAGUGAAGCCAGGUCUGAACAUUAGAGAAAAUCAUGCUCUGGUAUGACAGACUAUCAGAGGUUCCAAAGGUCCUCCAGGGGGCCUCGGUCUGACACUGUCUUCUCUCACCAUGCUCAGUUUUUUCUGAACCCAGAGCUCUGAGAGCCGAGUGUGAAGAAAGCUCCAGACUUGGCCAGAACUCCAACCAUGUGGAAUCUGAGGGCCUGGCCUUCUAGAGCAGGUUCUAGAAGGUGGAUGUGUUCUAUGGUAUAAAGCAUCCCCUUUCUGGCCAAACUAGCUCUUGGAGGAACGAGCAAAACAGAAGCAGUGCAUACCUCAGAGCCUGGAUAAAUCACAGACUAUUGAACCUGGAACUGGCUUUGACCAUGAAACUGUGAAUGGCCCUAACUUCAAGGGAAAUGAGAAAUCGAAGGAAUUGGCCCAAUGGCGAGGAGAGGAAAGGCCAAGGGAAGAGAAAAGUCUGCGUUAGUCUGGAGAAGUUGGACUAGUGAGGUAAUGGAUGUCAUCAAUCUCAGGAAUGCUAUUACCCAGAGCCUCUGAGCUACUACUUUGCAUCUGUACUGAAUAAAAAAAAAUCUGGAAAAAGUGAGAUG
rnacentral:sRNA from 1 species